rnacentral:rRNA from 1 species
GACGAACCGUGCAAACGUUGUUCGGAAUCACUGGGCUUAAAGGGCGCGUAGGCGGGCCAUCAAGUCCGGGGUGAAAUCCCCCAGCUUAACUGGGGAAGUGCCCUGGAUACUGGUGGCCUCGAGGAGGGUAGGGGCAUCUGGAACGUUGGGUGGAGCGGUGAAAUGCGUAGAUAUCGGGAGGAACACCUGAGGCGAAGGCGGGCUACUGGGCCGAUACUGACGCUGAUGCGCGAAAGCCAGGGGAGCGAACGGG